AUGCUGGAAACUUCUGCACCGUCCGCAGGUCCAGACCCACCUGGGCCGCCUCCCCCUCAGCAAGGGCUUCUCCCGACUCCAAGGCCAGGAUUCGGCCACCAGAAAGGCCGACGUCACCAAAACUGCCUGACAGAAAAAGCCGCAUACUCCCAACUUCACUGCAGCAGAACAGAACGUCAGAGCAUCAGGUUAGAAACUUGCAGGUCAACCACCUCUGCUGGUCGCCGAGGAGCCGGGCCGCCACCAGCUGGGCCUACGCCUUCAACGCCACCUCCUAGGCCCACUCCUCCCGUCCCAGCCAGGGUCGCUGAAGACCCCUCAAGAGCCUGCAGCAGGCUGGUGCCCCACGGCCCAAACCCAAGACACAUCAUCCACGUGGGUCAAUGGCCUCCUCAUGCAGCUGCCCCACUCCCACUGGGAACUCAGGCAUGCCACUCCUCGGGGGGGUCACCUCCGACCCCGAGGUCAGGACGGCCACAGUCAAAGGGAAGAAAACCAAAGCCCCUCAGGAGCACCAAUCUGUGCAGCUCAAAAAGCCCAGCAGGCAUCCCGGGGCUCCGGGGCCCGCUCCACACCCUUCCGCCUCUGGGCCCCACACAGGGCUCUUCCAAGACAGGCUGGCUCCCAAUCACCAGCCUGGGCUCCAUAAAAGAACCCCUUCUAAAACACACCCUUGUUUUUAGGAAUUGAAGUCAAAAUUCCCGGAGUUACCAUUGCAGUUCAGUGGAUUAAGGACCCAAUGUUAUCCCUGGCCCCACUCAGUGGGUUAAGGAUCCAGCAUUGCCGUGAGCUGUGGUGUAGGUCGCAGACGCAGCUUGGAUCCCGUGUGGCUGUGGCUGUGGUGUAGGCUGGUAGCUGGAGCUCAGGUUAGACCCCUAGCCCGGGAACUUCCAUGUGCUGCAGGUGCAGCCCUUAAAAAAAAAAAAAAAAAAAAAAAAAAAAAAAAAAGAAUCAAAAGUCCCACAACAGGCUGGCGAAAGUAGAAACUUUUGGUGAUAGUUAAAUAGCUUAAAAUCGACAUGUUCAAACAGCAGUAAAGACUGAAAGACAACUCAAUGGAAAGAAAAUAUUAUGAGCUGAAAUAAUUCAAAAAUGUCCAAAAGUAGUCAAAACAGCAAAAUGGAUAAAGGGGUAAAAUGAAAAACCACUACAGUACACAAAGAAAGCUGAAAGAAAAAGUAAUAAUAGAAACAGUCCGAUAUCUGUUCCAAUGUCUAUGUCCCCUUUCCAAGGUUUAUAUUAAAAUGUAGAAAAGCAACACUCUCUGAAAAAUCCAUUAUGUAUUAUCAUUUCCCCUCAAAAACAACCCCCGGAAAAUCUUCCUAUUCACCCUUGAGAAAUGCACUCAAUACUCUCCUCCCCACCCCGCCAAGGGCUGACCGACCUCACAAAACCCAGUCAAAACCUCCAGAGGCGCCCCAAAACUUGAUUUCGGUUUCCGGUUCCCAGUUAAAUCUGAAACAACACAACCAUUUGCACAUUCCUUCCAACCCACCCAAGGACAAAGGACAGCUGCUCAAGCAGGGCCAGGGGGACCUGGGGGACCUGGGAGCCCCUCUCUGUGAGGCAGGGGUCUGGCCAGCCCGCCGAAGAAUGUGGCAAAAAUGGAAUCUCAACCAACCAACCCACGGGCGGCACCCUCACCUUCCACGUACGAGGUACCCAGGGAGGGAGGGUCCAGUGCCCCCGGCACCUUAACCCCAGGCUCCUCGCGGCGCCCUGGCUUCCACGCCCAGCCCUGCCCUCCGCACAGUCUGCAGACGCGGCCAGCCCUGGGCUCCAGAAGCAACGGUCACGGCAGGCCUAUAGCCGAGUCCGAGAAUCGGACAAGGGAACAACUGCUAUUUAAUGAAACAGCAUUGGAUGGUGGCUCCCAAAUGCAGCCGACAGACCAACGCCAACGCCGCUGCACACGUUCGGCCCCUUCUUUCACCGAAAGAGCAAAGCAGCCGGACGGAAGGUCAGGCGGCCAAGAGAGUAGACCCUGACCGGCGACGGCUCGGGAGCCCGGCCGCGUGGCUGCGGCCUGGGCCGAAAUGUCUCCGGCAUCCGGAUGACUGAGAGCAGGUGGGAAACGCCCUUCACUCCAAACCCCGGCCGCAGCCCGUCAGUCUCAAGGUUUCGUCAGCCCUCGGGAGCCCGGCCGCGUGGCUGCGGCCUGGGCCGAAAUGUCUCCGGCAUCCGGAUGACUGAGAGCAGGUGGGAAACGCCCUUCACUCCAAACCCCGGCCGCAGCCCGUCAGUCUCAAGGUUUCGUCAGCCCCCGAAAGCUGAAAGCCUGGGCUCUCCCGGCACUCGGGACGCCUCCUCGCCGGGCCCCGGACCCCGAACAGGCCC
rnacentral:lncRNA from 1 species